GCCGGGGUAGCCUAGCGGUAAGGCGCAGGCCUCGAGAGCCUGUGUCCCCUUAGGGGACUCGCGGGUUCAAAUCCCGCCCCCGGCG
rnacentral:tRNA from 1 species